AACUCUCAACAACGGAUAUCUUGGCUCCCGUAACGAUGAAGAACGCAGCGAAAUGCGAUAAGUAAUGCGAAUUGCAGAAUUUCCGUGAGUCAUCGAAUCUUUGAACGCACAUUGCGCCCUUUGGUAUUCCGAAGGGCAUGCCUGUUCGAGCGUC
rnacentral:rRNA from 11 species